ACGGGUGAGUAACGCGUGGGCAACCUGCCUGUUACAGGGGGAUAACACAGGGAAACUUGUGCUAAUACCGCAUAACACAACGAGGUAGCAUUACCUUGUUGUCAAAGGAGUAAUCCGGUGACAGAUGGGCCCGCGUCCAAUUAGCUAGUUGGUGAUGUAACGGACCACCAAGGCGACGAUUGGUAGCCGAACUGAGAGGUUGAUCGGCCACAUUGGGACUGAGACACGGCCCAGACUCCUACGGGAGGCAGCAGUGGGGAAUAUUGCACAAUGGGGGAAACCCUGAUGCAGCAACGCCGCGUGAAGGAUGAAGGUUUUCGGAUUGUAAACUUCUUUAGUCAGGGACGAAUAAAUGACGGUACCUGAAGAAUAAGCCACGGCUAACUACGUGCCAGCAGCCGCGGUAAUACGUAGGUGGCGAGCGUUGUCCGGAAUUACUGGGUGUAAAGGGCGUGUAGGCGGGAAUGUAAGUCAGAUGUGAAAUCCCAGGGCUUAACUCUGGAGCUGCAUCUGAAACUAUGUUUCUUGAGUGCCGGAGAGG
rnacentral:rRNA from 1 species